GGGCGCUUGGUCUAGGGGUAUGAUUUUCGCUUCGCAUUUCGGUGGUACCCGAAGGCCGCAUGUGAAAGGUCGUGGGUUCAAUUCCCACAGUGUCCA
rfam:Glomerella graminicola M1.001 genomic scaffold supercont1.3, whole genome shotgun sequence.